AUUAAUGAUAGAAUAAAUCUUUCGUUGUAUAUUUGAUUUGAUAUAUAAGAGCCCCAAGAUCUAUAAAUAAAAUCAUAAGAACAUUCAGGGAAAGUAAUAAUUUAUGUAGUUGUUCAUUAGAAGAGACUUAACUAAAAGACCUGUUUAGGGUACAUUUGCUACCUUGAACCAGUGCUAUGGCGUAGUCAAUUUUUGCUGUAGUCUCUUAUGUGUUUGGAAAACAUGGAUUGGCAAGAGUAGAAAGAGAACAAUAUAAUGUACAUGUAAGUUUAUUGAAAACGUAAUUUAAACAUACAAAGGAGGAAAUCUAAAAUAUUUAUAAUAGCAAGCAUAUUACUCACAUAGAUUAAUAUAUGAAUGGAAAGAAAUUAUUCAUUGAAAAAUAGACACUGAGUAAUAAGUUUGUUGUCAAACCCGUUGAAGGAAGGGCAGUGCCUGCAGCUGUUCAAAUUGUAUGCUUGUUUCUUCUUCAAAAGGCAGCUUUUAAGGCAGCGAACUGCUGCCUUUUAAGCCUUCAAUUUAAUUUUCUUUUUUUUCUUUUUUUUUUUUUAUUAAAAAGCUCGCGAGCUCACGGGCAGUCUCAGGCAAAGCCCGUGUCCCCAAAAUGGGGUUCGGCCCGAACCUAGGCUCGAGUCUACCGAGCCCCGAGCCGGCGAGCCCGAUUGCCAUCCCUAGGGCAGGUUAUGUUACAUAAGAGUUGUCAACAAAUUUUAAUAUUUAAUAUUUGCCUUAGUAUUAUAAAUCUUGUCUACCGUACUUUAUCAUAGUAACAUUGAAUAGCAUAUAGAUAUUUUAGUAGGACUAAUUUAAGGAUUUAAAUAAUUUAACGGUAUAUAAAAUAACGAUUAUUAUUAAUUAGCUUAAAUUAUAAUAAUUAGACGUCAUUAGCUUAGAAUAAAGAUUUCCCAUGUAUGCAAUUUUGCAAAUUGUGAUUAUUUAAAUUGUUUGUUUGCAUGAUUAUCUUAAAUUUGAAAAAUGUUUAAUCACAUUUAAAUAAUUAGAUUUUUAUAAAACAAGAUUUAAUAUAUCAAUGUUGGGCUUGCUGGAUAAAUUACAUUAAAUCAUGUAUUUGAGGCUCGAAAAAAUUUUAAUUCGGAUAAGUUAAAUCUAAGAUAUUAAUGUUUAAAGAAAUUGCUAUUUAAUAGUAUUUUAUUGGAGUUUAGCAAUUGAGCCGUCCAUGGUCGACUGUCCACGGGUCAUGGUGGAUAACUAUUAUUUUAUUUUAAAGGCAUAUCCUAAUAUUGAAUCCUAGUAUUUAUACAUGAAAUGAUUGGUUGGUUGAUUUAAAACCUGUCCUAGUCAAGGUCUAUUUUGAAAUCAAUUUUAAACCAAUUGGUAGAUUGUCCACGUGAUAGCCUUUAACCCAAAUUGAUAAGUUUUGAUCUGAUAGUGUACUUUAUCUACGAAUUAACCUAUCAUGAAAUUUGUAGGAUAAAACGUGUAGCAGAUGUGGUGUUUUAUCUGAGAUUUGUAAGGUGGCUACACGUACUACACUAUUGGAUGGAGAUAUUAGUUUUUCCUUUUAUUUAAAAAGGAUAAUUUUAUAGUACAAUCAGCAUUUCACAAGAUUUUGACUUAUAAUAUAUUCUAGGGAAACUCAACCAACAUGCACGUGUCCCACUUUUCCAUAAAAAGCCUGCAUUAUAAAUACCAAACAAUGGACCACAUUAUUCACCACACAAAUUUCAUAUACAUGUACGUAUGGCAGAGAGAGAGAGAGAGAGAGAGAGAGAGAGAGAAUAGUUUAUGAAAUCGGAAAUUUUGCAUACAUCAAAUACCAUAUUUUCCAAAGCAGAGAAAAUGAUUUUAAACAUGCAUUCAGAUUUUUAAAAACGAGGUAAGAUACAUAUGUGCAAGUUAUUUUCGUUUCUAUAUGCUUUUGUAUACAAUUAAAUAUGCGUAGAUUGCUAGUAGACCUUCGGAUUCUAGAGAAAGAAAUGAAAUUCCUUCAAGAAUUUAAGACCUAAGAUGAGUGUGUUGCUUGGUCAUUGAUAUACUCCAUCAGAGCAGAGUGGUAUGAAAUGUAGAUUUUAUUGUUAUAUAUCUGUAUAUGAAAACUGCACGUAUCUUACUGUGUAUUUUUAAAUACUCACUCUUACAUUAAUUUUACAGGUUAGUUCGGAUCGACUGGAACAGUGACGAAUUGGUGAUGCAGGCUGUCAAAUGAAUCAAAGGAAAAGAAAAAGAAAUAAGUUUGCCCUAUUUAAAUUUACCAAUUAAUUUAAUUUUGUUCAAAGCGUAUUAUUUGAAUUAGUUAGGAGUUUAUGUUAUGUUCAGAUACGAUUUUCAUGAUUUAAAUUUAGAUUUAUAAAUGUUACAAUUAUUUGUUUAUUAAAGAAUUUUAUUUUUAUAGUUCCACACUUAAAAUAAAGAAAAUGAGUUAUUCGUAACGUUCGGGUAUUUAUGAAAAUUUUGGGCAUUACAGUUGCAGCACAUACGACCUUAGCACGACUUUCACAAGAUAAUCAAAGUAUCAAGCCCCUCUUAUUGAUACAGUCAAUAUUAAGGAGGGUUUACAUGUUACAAAAGAUCUUCUCCGCUCACUGAUAGUACUAUCUAAGAUGCUCAGCAUUCUAGGGUUCGGGUAGAGGACUUUCGCCCAGAUCUUCUAGUUUAUAUGCUCUUUUUAGUAGAACUCUUUUUACUACAUAGGGCCCUUCCUAGUUGGGACCCAAGGACCUAGAUCCGAUUUCCCUAGUGGUGAGGAAAACCUUUCAUAAGACUAAUGAUCCUAUUUCAAACUCCCAUUUCCACAACCUUUAAUUAUAGUACCUAGCAUUGCGGUGCGUUCCCGAGUUCGGCAUCAUUUCUCUUUUCCUCCACUAGGUCUAGUUUUCUUUGAAGAGCCAUUUGAUUACCUUUUUCGCUAUAGGCAGCCGUGUGGAAUGAUGAAAUCUCGAUUCCUAGUGGAAUUACAGUCUUUACGUUGAAAGCUAAGGAGAACGGGGUUUCACCCAUGCUGAUUCUUGUAGUGGUGGGAUAUGACCAUAGCAUACUGGGGAGUUCUCCAGCCCAUUCCCUUUGUGCGCAUCAAGCUUCACUUUUAAUGUGUACUUGAUAAUCUUGUUGAUGUCCUCGACUUGGCCAUUGGCUUGUGGGUGAUUCGAUGUAUAGAAGUGUUUCUUGAUACUGUACUCUUCACAAAAAUUUGCAAAAUGAGUGGAUGGUGAUGAAAACCUAGGAUCAGAUUCUGUCCAUUUAGAAGUUUAAGGUAGUUUUAACCUUUUCAUAUCCAUUAAUGAUCUCUUGGGCCUAGAAAGUAUAUCUUAAGGAGUACAAGGUUGUUGACAACAAUUGGAUGACAUUGACGUUCAUAAUUGGACUCGAGAAAUAGCGAGACUUAUUUGAUUAGUUUGUAAUGUCAUCAGUAAUUUGAAAUAAUGAUUUCGUCUAAUUUUUAUUUUAUUUUUUUGCGUGAAUGGACGUAUUUUGAGAUUGUGUGUGUUAAGAUUAUUAAAUGGAGAAUUCUCUUUAAUAUUAGAUGGUAAUACAAGUGAUUUUUCGACGUUGAACAAAAAAGGAAAUUGACAUACACUCCGUAGGAGCUUGCAUACACACGAUGGCGAAAGAUAAGUAAAAAUUCAUUUGCAACCACUAUGCAAGAAUCUAGUAUAUGUGAUAUAGUAAUGUUGAAAUAUUUAUAUAACUUUGAUAAGAGGCUUAUAGCACCUCAUAUGAUGAUUACGAUCAUUAAGUAUGAAUUUGCGGAACCUAUUGACAUCAAUUUUCAUUAAGCAUGUCAUUCAUGAGCCAUUUUCAUCAGCAUGCACAACAUGUGAUCAUGGUUGAAAAUCCUACAUGCGAAAUAUGAUUUCAAAUUGAGUUUUCUUUAUAAAUAUUUUAUUGACCACCACUAAGGUACCGAGGCAUGCUUAUGUGAUAUGUUUGGCAUCGCGGAUGAUUGCAAAGAUAGACAUGGGAUGAGCCUUUGGUGAUCACGAGAGGGUGACCACUCGACUGUGCCCUUGUGAUAUUAUGAUUAUAGGCGCUGUCGGUUGUGAGACUUCUUGGGUGAUCAUAGGGGUAUUUAGGGGAUGGGCCUGUAGUGAUCACGAGAUAAUGGUCCACUCGCCAGUGUCGAUUUCAUAUUGGUCAUUUGAUUAUUGAUAUUGAUAUUAUGCAGAGCUCUAUCCAGUUCAUAGUAGGUGGGUCAAGGGCCCAAUGAUUUGAAAGAUUUCAAAUGAAAUGGUUUCGAGUGGACUUUGAUAAAUAUUGUAAUAUGAUGCAUCUUUAUCGGGAUGUUAAAGUGAAUAGCAUAGUGACAUAUAUCGUUAUUGUUCAUAUUCAUGACAUGCAUGAUUUUUGUUUAAUAAGUAUUGGCUUAUGUAGUUCUUGCAUUGUAGGUGAGCCUGAAACUACAUAAAGAGCACGGCUAGCUGUGGAACUCUUACAGGAUUCCAGAGUUCGAUGUACAUGGAUGACGACUUGUAAGGUUAUUUUGUGGGCUGCUAUUUUGAGCUUUGGCCUAUUGUAUUGUAUGUUGGGGAUCCUGUGUUGUAUAUCUCUUGACAUGGCAUGUAGACAUGUUUAUAAUCUCAGAAUAUAUAUGUUUUACGGCGAUAUGAUUUUGAUUUAGAGACAUAGCUUAUGUCGUCUUAUCAGGUGAAAAAAUGUGUGAAAUUCUAUAUCUAGGUUGAAUCAUCAACUUUAUUUCCACACAGGUUAAUGGAUAGUUAUCUAUUUGAAUAGGGGCGUUACAAUCCUUCAUUAGAUUUGUCAAUUGCUUAUUUUCAACAUCUUAAAUAAUGUUCAAAUUGCAGAAGCCUGAACAUAAAGGGAUCAAAGUGUGUGUGUGUGUCUAUAUAUAUGAUGCCAGAUACAAGAGGAGAAUUAUAAGAGAAGGGGGGAGAAGAAGAGGAAGGAGGGAGAAAAGAGACAAGAGGAAGAGAAAAUUUUCAAUUUAUUUCAUAAUCAAAGGUGGUUAUACUACAACGCAAAAAAUCCAUUUAUAGAGUGCAUAAACUAGUCCUAAUUAAAGUUGGAAAUUAUUAUAAAAUCAACGAAAUCAAAACAUUGAGAAAAAUGCUAAAGGUACAUUACCUUGUACCUUAGGUAUGGACACCUGAGGCGAGGUGCCUGUGGGCCCCUGCAUGCGGCAGGCGUCUCGCCAUUAUGGACUCCUGGGUGUAGGGGGUGAUGUACCCCUAGCAGAGCCAAAACAUUAAUUAUGUUUUCUAGAAUAAAUUUCAAAAUUAGAAACUAAAUAUAAUAAUAUAUCUUUAAUAUUGAAUCAUUUAUCCCCGACUGAGAGAACUCGACUCCGACAAGGUAAACUGAAACUUCAUACUCCAAGGUUGUUAUCUUUUGUCUUGGCCAAAUGCCUAUAUUGAACCCUGGACAACAACAUCUCUCUAAACUCGUACCAAGGAGGACAAUCUUUCUUAUUAAUCAAAUAUCUUAACUGAUCACUUGAUGACAACUGAAGCUGCAAAUCAUCUUGAGGAUUAUGAUCUAACCACGGGGAAGAUCUCCCAUUCUAACCAAAUUGCGAUAGGGAACUCCAAAAAUCAAAAACUCAUGCAACUCAUCCACAAAAUUUUCAACUAGUUGUGCAUAAAGAGGAGCAUAGGGAAUUAGCACUGUAAACUAGCAUGUAGAAAAAAAAUGACUGCAACAUCAAAGGCUCGAAUGUGCCUCGAUAAGGAAAUAAUUCUUCCACAUUGAAAAUGUAACUUUCAUUCAAAAAUCUUUUUCUUUAAUAACGUUUUCUUUAUGAGUAUGAUCAAAAAUCUUUUUCUUUACUUGUGUAGGAAACUGAAUGAAUGAAAUACACAAUAAAGCGUAAUAAAUAUCAUUGGGGUCUCCACACUUGUGUUGUACCUCAAAAGUAAGCUCAAAAAUUUCAUGAUUGAAAAUAAUUUUUCGUUUUAAUUUGGCAUGAAAUUUAGGAAAAUUUAUAGCAAAAUGAAGAGCUAAUAUAGUAUGUCGAUAAUUGGUGGGCAUUAUUCUAAUACCAAUAGGAAAAGUGUGCAAUUGAAUAAUGGCCUUGAAAAAUAAUGUUGCAACCAAGGAGCAUCGUGAAAUAGAGGAAAUAUCAAAACAAAGUCAACGUGAUAGUCAUGAAAAAUAGUAGGUAAUAUCAAUUUAGGCACAAUGUCGAUCACAUAUGGAAUGAUUGACUUUGUUGGCAAUGUGAUAGGUAGAUUCUCAACUUUGUUAGAGUGAAGUGUAUCGAUUACAGGUGUGGAUAUGAUAAGGAAUAUAGAUCUCUCAUCCUAAAGUGAAGAAACGGUUGCACUAUGAUCAUCUAAAGAAACAUGAUUUUAGAGAUUGGGAUAAAUAUGGUUAGAUAGUCUUUGCACAAGUCGCUAGAAGUCUUUCAACUACGUUAAAUGCAAUUGAAAAGACUUCUUUAUUUUUCUUUUCCACGCUAUUCAAAAGAAGGGCAAUCAAGUCUAGAGAUAAAUUGUCACUCUCUUCUAAUAUGAGGGUCAUAAUAGUCUCUAUGAAUGUGAAGAUAUUACCUAGAGGAGUUCUCCUAGGGCUAAAAUAAAAUGCUAGAACAUUUCAACUAUCAUAUGCUCACAAUUUAGAUCCA
rnacentral:lncRNA from 1 species